rnacentral:rRNA from 1 species
UUUAAGUGGUACGCGAGCUGGGUUUAGAACGUCGUGAGACAGUUCGGUCCCUAUCUGCCGUGGGCGCUGGAGAACUGAGGGGGGCUGCUCCUAGUACGAGAGGACCGGAGUGGACGCAUCACUGGUGUUCGGGUUGUCAUGCCAAUGGCACUGCCCGGUAGCUAAAUGCGGAAGAGAUAAGUGCUGAAAGCAUCUAAGCACGAAACUUGCCCCGAGAUGAGUUCUCCCUGACUCCUUGAGAGUCCUGAAGGAACGUUGAAGACGACGACGUUGAUAGGCCGGGUGUGUAAGCGCAGCGAUGCGUUGAGCUAACCGGUACUAAUGAACCGUGAGGCUUAACCUUACAACGCCGAAGGUGUUUUG